rnacentral:lncRNA from 1 species
UCCCAUGGCUGUGCCUGCUCUCCUCACUCCCAAAAAGCAUGGAAUAUGACAAAUAUGUGUAGAUAGUUGUGCUAUCAACAAGAUCAUGGUAAAGUAUAGGUUCCCCAUCACUAGGCUCGAUGACAUGCUUGACAUGCUAGGGGAUGCGAAGAUAUUCUCUAAGGUCGACCUGAAGAGCGGAUAUCACCAGAUCCGUAUCCGACUAGAAGACAAGUGAAAAACGGCAUUCAAAACCAAAGGACUAUAUGAAUGAUUGGUUAUGCCCUUCGAGCUAUCCAAUGCCCCAAGCACUUUCAUGUGUAUCCCAAAUCAGGUGUUAUGGCCGUUCACUGAAAAAUUCGUUGUGGUAUACUUCGAUAACAUUUUGAACUAUAGCACGAGUCCUGAACUUCAUCUAAACCAUCUACGACAAAUGCUUCAGAUCAUGAGAGAAAAUCAGUUAUAUCUAAACCUUAAGAAGUAUACCUUUUUAAUUGAUAGCCUCAUCUUCCUAGGUUAUAUUGUCUGUCAAGGGAAUUAAAGUAGAUCCCACUAAAAUCAAAGUGAUUCAAGAUUGGGCAAUAACUAAGAUUUAAAGCUUUCCUGGACUUGUAUCAUCCUAUAGGCACUUCAUUCACAAUUUCAGUUCCUUAAUUGCCCCGAUCAC